rnacentral:rRNA from 1 species
AUUGAACGCUGGCGGCGUGCUUAACACAUGCAAGUCGAGCGGUAACGCGGGAGCAAUCCUGGCGACGAGCGGCGAACGGGUGAGUAAUGUUUCGGAAUCUGCCCUAUGGUGGGAAUAACCAGCCGAAAGGUUGGCUAAUACCGCAUGAAACCUGAGGGUCAAAGGCGCGAGUCGCCUGUGGAGGAGCCUGCGUCCGAUUAGCUAGUUGGUGGGGUAAAGCCUACCAAGGCGACGAUCGGUAGCUGGUCUGAGAGGAUGAUCAGCCACACUGGGACUGAGACACGGCCCAGACUCCGUACGGGAGGCAGCAGUGGGGAAUAUUGGACAAUGGGCGCAAGCCUGAUCCAGCAAUG